rnacentral:rRNA from 1 species
AACAAACGCUGGCGGCGUGUCUUAAGCAUGCAAGUUGAGCGGCAAGGAGGAGAGAUCCUCCCUAGAGCGGCGGACUGGUGAGUAACGCGUGGGUAAUCUAUCUUAGGCAUGGGGAUAGUCACUAGAAAUAGUGGGUAAUACCGAAUAAGUUCCAUAAGGGGAGGACUUAUGGAAGAAAGGUGCUACGGCACUGGCCUUAGGUGAGCUCGCGUCCCAUUAGCUAGUUGGUGAGGUAAAGGCCCACCAAGGCGAUGAUGGGUAGCCGGCCUNNCACUGGGACUGAGAUACGGCCCAGACUCCUNCGGGAGGCAGCAGCUAAGAAUAUCCGCAAUGGACGGAAGUCUGACGGAGCGACGCCGCGUGGAUGAAGAAGNCCGAAAGGUNGUAAAGUUCUUUUGCUAGGGGAGAAUAAGUGUGGGAGGGAAUGCCUGCACGAUGACAAGGACUAGCGAAUAAGUCCCGGCCAACUACGUGCCAGCAGCCGCGGUAACACGUAGGGGGCGAGCGUUGUUCGGAAUUACUGGGCGUAAAGGGCAUGUAGGCGGCUUGGUAAGCCUGGCGUGAAAGUCUGCAGCUUAACUGUAGGGAUGCGUUGGGAACUGCUUAGCUUGAGUUACGGAGAGGGAGCUGGAAUUCCUGGUGUAGGGGUGAAAUCUGUAGAUAUCAGGAAGAACACCGAUGGCGAAGGCAAGCUUCUGGCCGACAACUGACGCUGAGGUGCGAAAGUGUGGGGAUCAAACAGGAUUAGAUACCCUGGUAGUCCACACAGUAAACGAUGUGCACGAGGUGCUGGGGCGGUAGUUUCAGUGCCGGAGCGAACGCGGUAAGUGCACCGCCUGGGGAGUAUGCUCGCAAGGGUGAAACUCAAAGGAAUUGACGGGGGCCCGCACAAGCGGUGGAGCAUGUGGUUUAAUUCGAUGGUACACGAGGAACCUUACCUGGGUUUGACAUACGGAGGGAAGUGGCAGAGAUGUCACUGCGUAGAGAUACGGCUCCGUACAGGUGCUGCAUGGCUGUCGUCAGCUCGUGCCGUGAGGUGUUGGGUUAAGUCCCGCAACGAGCGCAACCCCUACUGUCAGUUACUAACAGGUUAAGCUGAGGACUCUGGCGGAACUGCCGGUGACAAACCGGAGG